rnacentral:sRNA from 1 species
GUCAAUUGACCCCUUAAGGAGAUAUUGCCCUUCAUAGUCAAUUUUUAAUCUUUUUUUUAAUCAUUAAUCAAUUACGUAAAUUUCGGUAAAUGUUUUGCAUAAUUUACGUAUUUAUGAAAAUGAUUAAAACUUGACUAUGAAGGGCAAUAUCUCCUUAAGGGGUCAAUUGAC